GUAGGUUCGUCUACCAGUCAUGUUCCAAAGUUUGUCCUAUUACUUAUUAUGCUCCGUCUCACCGUUUUUGGCAGAUUUCACCACGUUAUUACGGAACGUGGAUACGUUAACUCAUACUGAGAUGUGAAGCUUAGUGAAUCACACGUGGAGAAUUUCUAACAAAUAGCCUGUUUUGUAUAGACUGGCUAUCUGCCCUCUCGGUGAGAUUAAAUGCGGUUGCUAAACUUGUUGCAGUGUUUUGUCCUUUCUGUUGUUUCUGAUUGGAACAAACACCAAAGUUUUGCAGCUCUUGUGGGUGUAAUGUACAGUUUUUAGAAGAAGCCAAAUCUGCACUGUCUGUAUCUACGGUUGAGGACUGUGGACCAUCUCAUGGCACAGAAUGAUUUGUGUACAGGGCUUCAGCAAAGGACCCUGGGUAAGCUUUGAUGGACCUCAGGGGAAGAUAUAUGACCUCUCCACCAGGCUCAGGACCAGGU